CCCAGUGUGGCAUAGUGCUUUGAGUGUUGACUAUGAUUCUGGAGACCAGGGUUCAAUUCCCUGCUCAGCCA